AACGAACGCUGGCGGCAUGCCUAACACAUGCAAGUCGAACGAGACCUUCGGGACUAGUGGCGCACGGGUGCGUAACGCGUGGGAACCUGCCUUUAGGUUCGGAAUAACUCCCCGAAAGGGGUGCUAAUACCGGAUAAUUUCUUCGUACCAAAGAUUUAUCGCCUUUGGAUGGGCCCGCGUUGGAUUGGCUAGUUGGUAGGGUAAGAGCCUACCAAGGCUACGAUCCAUAGCUGGUCUGAGAGGAUGAUCAGGCACACUGGGACUGAGACACGGACCAGAAUCCUACGGGAGGCAGCAGUGGGGAAUAUUAGACAAUGGGCGAAAGCCUGAUCCAGCAAUGCCGCGGAAUGUAUGAAGGCCUUAUGGUUGUAAAGCUCUUUUACCCGGGAUGAUAAUGACAGUACCGGGAGAAUAAGCUCCGGCUAACUCCGUG
rnacentral:rRNA from 1 species